rnacentral:lncRNA from 1 species
GUUCUGUUCUUUUUCACGGGUAUUUUUUAUACACUAAAACUACUACAUCUUAAUUGAAUCUGUAUGUCCCAAAACGCAGUAUAAAUCAUUAAAAUGUACUGGUUUUAAUAGUAAAAAUGUGAUGGUUUUUAAUGCUAUUUGCAGCAGAAGCCAUUUAGAUCUUAUGUGAUCGUUUCUAUUGUGAUUUUUACACAGAAAGGUUCAGGUUAUCAGUGUCUGGCAAACCCAAAACUGUUAUUUCACUUUGCUUUGCUUUGGAAUAUCCUUCCCAUAUUGUUCGCUGGAUGCUGCCACUAUGUUCAUUGUCUCUCCUGAACCUGUAAUGCCUCCAUAUCGGCCGCAAACAGUAAAUAAAUCCCCCCAGUCUUGACAUUCUGCGCACACACCUCAUAAUCCUCUCAUGAAAUUCAAGUAUGUUUCCGCUGUUGAUCUUUGAUAGCGCAGACGUGUAGAUGCUGGGAGAUAUCGAUCGCAUCCUCCUCUCAUGAUUUGGUGGCUUUGGAGGCCGUCGACUAUUGCUUAGCAACGGCUCGGCUAAAAGCGGCGCAUGGCUUGUUUUGUUGUUAGCCGAGAGGGUUUAUAUCAAAACCAGAAAUACCUUUAAUUCCCUUCUAAACCUCCAUCUUCCUCCAGUCCUCCAUCUUGGACUGUUUGUCAGGGAUUUUUGGCGUUUUGAGCACAACAAAGAGACGCGAAUCCGCUUGAAAUCUGCGUCUGAAUCAGAUGACUGAAUAAAUGAACGACAGUCCAAAAGCGGGAAAACGGAGGAUGACGGGAAAUGUGGGUCAUCGGCUGACAGAAAUGUGACGCGCUUUGAACACAAACGUCACAUUAAAGAGGUGAAUAUAUGAGCUCAGCAUCACGGAGAAUCUCUAAUUCACUUCUGUCUCUGUUUCUGUCGGUCUGUCUGCGCAAAAUAACUCCAGCAGAAAAACACUCAUCCGAUUAUUCCCCGUAGGAAAGUUUGAUAUUAAUUAAAAAGGUUUAAUUACUGUCUCUCAGGC